GCAAACGUCAGACAGACUCCCGAUCUAGCGACAAAUGGACUUUCAAAACAGAAAAAAGUAUGAAUAAAACUAUAAGAGUUUACGUGCUGAUGCCAGAGGCAUUUAAGAUAUGGUGUAGCAAUAGAAACCAUUCCUUAUAAUGUUAUUGCAAACGUCAUCCAAGACAUUGUAUGGUAUGGAUAUGACCAUUCUGUGUCUGUGAUAAAGAAACGUGGAAAUGGAGUGGUACUAUACUAACAUAAUCUUAUUAAUCCUUUUUUUCUAUAAUAGAAAUCUUAAAAUUCAUAAACCAAUAAAUCUCUGAAAGCAGGUUGUGAUAUAUAUUAAAAACAAUGGACAAGUACAACUAGAGUAAAUUGUAAAUUAAGGAUUUCCUAAUCAGGUACACAUCCGUGCUAUACCAAUUCAUUUGUAACAGAAAACCCAGAAAAAUAUAUUUAACAUGUAACAACAAACUGUAUUUGCAUGCCCUCUUUGUCUUUGAAUUUUUCGUAAAAUCAGGAUGAUUACCGUAGAUAAAAAACACUACGUAAAUUUAAAAAUAAAAGAUUUCACUUACAUUCGUAAUGACGCACGUAACUGUAAAAGGACUCUCGACACCAAAAUAUAUAUCUUCAGACCCGACAAGCACAGCUUGUGGUUCAACAAUUCGUAAUUCGACAGACUGGGUGGAUGCGGAUUUCCUAGUCGUGAUCUGUAAGUAGAAGAAUCAGUUUAGGAAAGCAGAAGCGGCCGUUAUACUUUUCAGUUUAAGAGUAAAAUAAAGCUGUUCCAACCUGAAA